UACGUAGGGGGCAAGCGUUGUCCGGAUUUAUUGGGCGUAAAGAGCGUGUAGGCGGUUCGGUAGGUCCGUUGUGAAAACUCGAGGCUCAACCUCGAGACGCCGAUGGAAACCCUCGAACUAGAGUCCGGAAGAGGAGAGUGGAAUUCCUGGUGUAGCGGUGAAAUGCGCAGAUAUCAGGAAGAACACCCGUGGCUAAGGCGGCUCUCUAGUACGGUACUGACGCUGAGACGCGAAAGCGUGGGGAGCGAACAGG
rnacentral:rRNA from 1 species